GAGGCGGCCCGGCUGCCCCGGGAUUGCGCAACACCGGGGAGGGGCCGGUCCAGGUCAGGUUCACGGAGCCCCGGAGAUGAUGGGAUAAAUACGCGGACAGGAGGAGUGACUAACUGACACCGUCGCCCUAAUUGAGACGUUUUAUGAUUCAACAGUUCUGAGGGCCUGUGAUGGUAAUUCUCAAAAAGGAAAACAGGAAUGCCUCUGACACGUUCCGAGACAUUCCUUUUGCCACAGAGGGCAGCUGCGGACUUGAGAAGAAGCUGCCUUUCUGGCCUGCCCCCACGUCCCCUGCACAGAGUCCCCCAGGCCCGAGGCAGAAGGGUCCCCGUGUCACACCCUAGAGGCAGACCGCCUCUCCAGCUCUGCACUGCGGUUAGAGGGAAGGGGCACCUCCCACGCCCCAGGCUUCCACUAAAAUGUUCCUGCCCUGCCACUGCCUUUGAGGGACCAAAUGGACUCCUGGGACCCCGGUCCAGACCUGACAUUGGGGUGACGACCCCCAUCGAGCGUGCUGGAGGCACUUGGGCCAGAACACGAACAGUAGCUGACCAGGGGAGGCAGGAGGCAGAAGGCGGAGUGUGACAUGGAAGGCCACGCAGCCACCAGAGCCGCUUCUCCUCUGAGAAGACCAGUGUGGUCGACGGGAGGGGCCAGGACUCUCCUCUGUUGGCCGCUGACCCCAUGGAAGGCUGGACAGAGAGAAAUUCUGUGCCCGCCAAAGAGAAAGUCAGAGCCAACCAGACAGGCGAUGACUCCCUCCCUCAAGUCCCACCCACGAACUUCCCCGAAUUCCUCCAGUGUCCUUUGCCGGAAGCAUGAUGGCCUCACACACUUGGGAACUGGCCAUCAGACGUGCACGGCAAGGCUGACACAGAGCGCUUAGCCUUCAGGCCAUACGCCCAGCCCUCUCCCAAGUUCCGUGUGUCUACACUGACUGCAUGUCUCCACAGAGGCUUGGGCUCCCUCCCUCUGCACACACAGGCUCAGUGCAUGGACCGCCUGACUCUGGGGUCUGAUGGACACCUUGCAUGGUACCUGAGGACCUGACCGUUAUCAACCACCGACGUGUGGCGCCUGGAAUCCUCAGGGCUUGUGACAGAGAAAUGUGGGAGCACUGACUGCUCUCUGUGCUGCCCAGGCUGCAUCCACCCUGCCUCUGCACCCACCAUUUGGUGCAGGUCGGGGCUGGGGAGAAUGUCCCAACCCGAGGAGAAGAAAGGUGGGGGCCCUCCUCCCGGGUCUCUUCUGGCUCCCAUUUAGAAGCAGGUGGGAGAACUAGGAUAGCUCUAACCCUCGAAGCGGGGGGGUGUCUGGAGGCAGGGACCCAUCUUCAUUCAUUGGGGCCACUACCGCCGGGCCUGGGAGAGUUCCUGGCACUCGGGGAGAUGACCGGAGGCCUGAGUCCUGCGGCUUCUGUACACGUGAAUCCGGGCUGGCUUCAGAAAGUGCCUCACAGCCCCUCCCCCCUCUCUCUUUUCUGGGCCAACGUCCAUGAACUUUUCCCUUUCAGGAGCUCCAAAUUCUUCCUACUAAGAUAUCUCCCAUGGAGAGGAACAGCU